GACGAACGCUGGCGGCGUGCUUAACACAUGCAAGUCGAACGGGAAGGCCCUGCUUUUGUGGGGUGCUCGAGUGGCGAACGGGUGAGUAACACGUGAGUAACCUGCCCUUGACUUUGGGAUAACUUCAGGAAACUGGGGCUAAUACCGGAUAGGAGCUCCUGCUGCAUGGUGGGGGUUGGAAAGUUUCGGCGGUUGGGGAUGGACUCGCGGCUUAUCAGCUUGUUAGUGGGGUAGUGGCUUACCAAGGCUUUGACGGGUAGCCGGCCUGAGAGGGUGACCGGCCACAUUGGGACUGAGAUACGGCCCAGACUCCUACGGGAGGCAGCAGUGGGGAAUAUUGCACAAUGGGCGGAAGCCUGAUGCAGCAACGCCGCGUGCGGGAUGACGGCCUUCGGGUUGUAAACCGCUUUCGCCUGUGACGAAGCGUGAGUGACGGUAAUGGGUAAAGAAGCACCGGCUAACUACGUG
rnacentral:rRNA from 1 species